ACGUCUGGUGUGGGCGGGAGUGAGCCAAAGUGUGCUAAAGGAAACCAACAGCGGCCUAGGGGUGAAAGGACAGCCAGGGUUAGAUGUUCUGAGGAGGCGGGAGCAACCGAGAGAGCACGUGAGCAUCUGUCCUUUCUACCCGUUCCUCUUUAUCUUUAGUGUUCAGUAGCAGCGGGGAUAGCCCGGGGCCCGGUGUAUGGCCACGGAGUUACAGUGUCCGGACUCCAUGCCCUGUCACAACCAGCAAGUAAACUCUGCCUCAACCCCAAGUCCCGAGCAGCUGCGACCUGGCGAUCUGAUCCUGGACCACGCAGGGGGAAACAGAGCCUCCAGGGCCAAGGUGAUUCUCCUCACGGGGUACGCCCAUUCUAGCCUGCCGGCCGAGCUGGACUCUGGGGCCUGCGGCGGCUCCAGCCUCAACUCAGAGGGCAACAGUGGUAGUGGUGACAGUAGCAGCUAUGACGCACCAGCUGGCAACUCCUUCCUAGAGGACUGCGAACUCUCCCGGCAGAUCGGGGCGCAGCUUAAGCUGCUGCCUAUGAAUGAUCAGAUACGGGAGCUACAGACCAUCAUCCGUGACAAGACAGCCAGUAGAGGUGACUUCAUGUUUUCUGCGGAUCGUUUGGUUUUGCCUGAGGAUUUAUUCCAAAAGAGCAUAGACAACUCCUGUUCUGCUUUUCAUCAUCAGACUUGUUGUGGAAGAGGGAUUGAAUCAGCUGCCAUAUAAAGAAUGCAUGGUGACCACUCCAACAGGGUACAAGUAUGAAGGAGUGAAAUUUGAGAAGGGAAAUUGUGGGGUCAGCAUAAUGAGAAGCGGUGAGGCAAUGGAACAAGGUUUACGAGACUGCUGUCGAUCCAUACGAAUUGGAAAGAUCCUGAUUCAGAGUGAUGAGGAGACACAAAGAGCCAAAGUAUAUUAUGCCAAAUUCCCCCCAGACAUUUACCGGAGAAAAGUCCUUCUGAUGUAUCCAAUUCUCAGCACUGGAAAUACUGUAAUUGAAGCUGUAAAGGUUCUUAUAGAACAUGGAGUUCAACCCAGUGUUAUCAUCCUACUCAGUCUGUUCUCCACUCCUCAUGGUGCCAAAUCAAUCAUUCAGGAGUUUCCAGAGAUCACAAUUUUAACUACUGAAGUUCAUCCUGUUGCACCUACACAUUUUGGACAGAAAUACUUUGGAACAGACUAAGUUAUUUAAGUAAAAUAAUUAUCUUAUGUAAUAUUACAAUCAUGUUUUGAUUUUCUAUUUGUUUUACUGAUUCACUUGAGGGUGGCAGAGAAAAAUGUGUUAAAAUGCUUUUUAGUUUUGGAAGUGGGUAUAUUUGAGGUUAUAUCUCAUUUAGUUAUUUGUUUACUGUUGGCACCGAAUUCAACAAUGAAGUAUAUGCAACUCUUACAAAACAUAAAUUUUAAUAAUAUUCUAAUGCAAAUUACUGAACCCUCAGUGCAUUAAAAUUAUUUCCUAAUUUAUGAGCCUCUUAGUUUGGAGGUUGCUUGAAGCCACAAAUAAAACUCAAAUGAGAGUCAGUUCUUUGUCCCACUGUAGUUUGCAUUUUGUUUAGUUUGGUUUUAGCUCUACUAAGGUUUCACAUAUGUGGCUAUUGCCACAUUCCUCUACUGUUUUCUUUCUGAUACUGGACAUGCUAGUAACUUGGAGAGGAGAAUAAAAGAAUGUCUCCUGGAAUUUUACAUUCCCAUUAAUGUCCUCAUUCAGUUGGCAGACCUAGGAUGUAUGGUUAACUCUCAGGCCAUUAUGUUUUUCAUGGCUCAUUUCCCAAACUGCAUUGUUGGUAGGUGCCUUGCUAAGCUGUAAUGCAGUGAAGAAGAUGGUGGGGCAUUUUUAGUAAUUGGAACUGUAACAUUAAUUUACAAGAUUGAACCGGGGAUGUCUGGAUGCUGACAAGGGAGAGCCAAGUACUGUUAAUGCCAUCAAUCCUCUAGGAAGGAAUUGGUGGUUUUUCUGAAGUGUGGGGGAAAGGGUGGUUUCUUGCUGGAUUUCAUGGCCAGUAAGUAAAUUUAAAUGCUUCAUUUUUAAUUUGGAUGUUUCUGCUAGAGACCUUUGAUUUGGAAAUUAGUUAUUUUGCAUGUUUGUCAACUGUAUAUGUAUGAAAAUAGAAAAAAACCAUGCUUUUUGUAAAAACCCCUAAGAUUUGUAUAUGUUCAUCUUUAGGCUUCUGAAAGGGAGAGAAAUCAUAUUGGAAAUCAGUGUUGGUGUUCUGAAAUCUGCUUGUAAAACUCUCAUCUCAUUUUACAUUGAUAUUAAAACAUUUUAACAGUGUUGGCUAGCUGAUUACUUGAUUAAUUAUACUCCCAUGGCCCCAUAGGAAGCUGUUGUGGGCCUCUGUUCAAAAGCACAGAAAAGAGCAGAAGGAAAUGUCUUAGAAAGAAUCAAAGCUGAUGAAAUCAGCAAAGAUUGGGGGAAAGGAAGGAAGCCUGGUGUAGAUUGGAUUAUAUUUUUCCUUUGGGGACUAGAAUACUAGAAGAACUUCAGUAUAUUUUUCCCUUUAUUUUUGAAUACUGUCAUAUAAUAAAUUGAGAUUAAUAAAUUACUCAUAUUACAGUUCUUCCAUGGCAA